GACGAACGCUGGCGGCGUGCUUAACACAUGCAAGUCGAACGGAAAGGCCCUGCUUUUGUGGGGUGCUCGAGUGGCGAACGGGUGAGUAACACGUGAGUAACCUGCCCUUGACUUUGGGAUAACUUCAGGAAACUGGGGCUAAUACCGGAUAGGAGCUCCUGCUGCAUGGUGGGGGUUGGAAAGUUUCGGCGGUUGGGGAUGGACUCGCGGCUUAUCAGCUUGUUGGUGGGGUAGUGGCUUACCAAGGCUUUGACGGGUAGCCGGCCUGAGAGGGUGACCGGCCACAUUGGGACUGAGAGACGGCCCAGACUCCUACGUGAGGCAGCAGUGGGGAAUAUUGCACAAUGGGCGGAAGCCUGAUGCAGCAACGCCGCGUGCGGGAAGACGGGCUUCGGGUUGUAAACCGCUGUCGCCUUUGACGAAGAGUGAGUGACGGUAAUGGGUAAAGAAGCACCGGCUAACUACGUG
rnacentral:rRNA from 1 species